GUUUGUAAUUCGCAUAACACAUGCGNGUUCAUNCUAAAAAGUUUAUUUUUUAGGAUAGCGAACGGGUGAGUAAUACAUAGAAAUUUACCUUUUUAAUAUUNGUAAUUAAAUUAAAUUGUUUUUAGAAAAGUCUAUGUAAGAUUAAGUUGUUGGUAAUUAGAGAUUACCAAGCUAAUGAUCUUUAGUUGAUCUGUGAGGAUGAACAACCACAUUGGAAUUGAGAUACGGGCCAAACUCUUUUAAGAGGCAGCAGUGAGGAAUCUUGGGCAAUGAGCGAAAGCUUGACCCAGCUAAAUUAUGUGUGUGAAGAAAAUAUUAUAUUGUAAAACACUUUACUUGAAGAAAAAUAUUGAUCUAGUUCANAAAAAGUNCUGGCUAAUUUCGUGCCAGCAGCCGCGGUAAA
rnacentral:rRNA from 1 species